GGGUGGGUAGGGUUUUUGGAAUGUGGAGUUUAGGACUCGAAUAAAUAUAUAAAUAAAUACUUAAAAGAACAGUUUCAAACCAAAAAUUUUGAAUUUCAAAAAAAAAAUUCAAAAAAUAAGAAAGAAAAAUUCAAAAAAGAAAUUAUAAAAAGUUUGAAUUUGAAAAACUAUAAUUCGAAAACAUAAAAAAAAAACUUUUUUUAUUUAAAUAAUUAUUAAUUUUAUAUAUAGAGAGCAAUGGUAUAAGAGUCUUUUGCCUCUUAAUGAAGAAUAUAUUUUUGAAAAUAUCUCUUUAGUUGUGGUAAAAAUGAAUAAUGGUACCAACAAUGUGGUAAAUAUGAAAAUUCACCAAAACAUUUUGGUAAAUAUUUUCAU
rnacentral:lncRNA from 1 species